UUGACGGGGCCCGCACAAGCGGUGGAGCAUGUGGUUUAAUUCGACGCAACGCGAGGAACCUUACCUGGGCUUGACAUCCCGAUCGCACCUUAUGGAAACAUAGGGGUCAGUUCGGCUGGAUCGGUGACAGGUGCUGCAUGGCUGUCGUCAGCUCGUGUCGUGAGAUGUUGGGUUAAGUCCCGCAACGAGCGCAACCCUUUGCCCUUAGUUGCCAGCAUUCAGUUGGGCACUCUAAGGAGACUGCCGGUGUCAAACCGGAGGAAGGUGGGGAUGACGUCAAGUCCUCAUGGCCCUUAUGUCCAGGGCUACACACGUGCUACAAUGGCCGGUACAAAGGGGCGCAAGACCGCGAGGUGGAGCAAAUCCCAAAAACCGGUCUCAGUUCGGAUUGGAGUCUGCAACUCGACUCCAUGAAGUUGGAAUCGCUAGUAAUCGCGUAUCAGCAUGACGCGGUGAAUACGUUCCCGGGCCUU
rnacentral:rRNA from 1 species